rnacentral:rRNA from 1 species
AGUGAACGCUGGCGGUAGGCCUAACACAUGCAAGUCGAACGGCAGCACAGUAAGAGCUUGCUCUUACGGGUGGCGAGUGGCGGACGGGUGAGGAAUACAUCGGAAUCUACUUUUUCGUGGGGGAUAACGUAGGGAAACUUACGCUACUACCGCAUACUACCUACGGGUGAAAGCAGGGGAUCUUCGGACCUUGCGCGAUUGAAUGAGCCGAUGUCGGAUUAGCUAGUUGGCGGGGUAAAGGCCCACCAAGGCGACGAUCCGUAGCUGGUCUGAGAGGAUGAUCAGCCACACUGGAACUGAGACACGGUCCAGACUCCUACGGGAGGCAGCAGUGGGGAAUAUUGGACAAUGGGCGCAAGCCUGAUCCAGCCAUACCGCGUGGGUGAAGAAGGCCUUCGGGUUGUAAAGCCCUUUUGUUGGGAAAGAAAAGCAGCAGGUUAAUACCCCGCUGUUCUGACGGUACCCAAAGAAUAAGCACCGGCUAACUUCGUG